GUACUCUCACACUCCCAAUGCUUUUUGGAUCGGGAGUGGUGGACUUGGGUGUUGCUGCUUUACUGUGGCUCGCCUUAAAUGGAGUAGUGCAACUCUUGGUUGGACAUAGUACGGCGUGAUAAGUGUCUUCGCCGGCGCCUCAUUAGAGGGUGGCCGAUCGGGAGCUCUGUGCUUCAAACCGUCUUCGGACAAUAUCUGACA
rnacentral:misc_RNA from 1 species